rnacentral:rRNA from 1 species
UAUUUUUUUAGGUGUUCCCUGCCCGGUGAGUUUUUAACGGCCGCAGUAUUUUAACUGUGCUAAGGUAGCAAAAUCAAUAGGCUCUUAAUUGGAGUCGAGAAUGAAUGGGAGGUUGGGCUUAAACUUUAUUAUUUAUUUAAAAAUAAAUUAUUUAUCUGGUGAAAAUACCAGAAAGGACUGAAAAGACGAUAAGACCCUGGGAAUUUUUAGAGUUUUUAUUGGGGCAAUAGAGCAGUAAACAGCUUUAGUAAAAGAUUAAUUCUUAUUUAUAUAAAAUUAAAUUACCCCAGGGAUAACAGCAUAAUACAUAAUGUGUUUAUGACCUCGAUGUUGGACUAGGAAAGAAUUAGGGUAGCACUUUAAUUUAUUUGCUCUGUUCGAGCAGUUAUUCCUACAUGAUCUGAGUUCAGACCGGAAACAGCGCAAUCCUAUUCUAGAGUCCAUAUCAACAAUAGGGUUUACGACCUCGAUGUUGGAUCAGGACAUCCCGAUGGUGCAGCCGCUAUUAAAGGUUCGUUUGUUCAACGAU